UCCAGUCCAGUUGAAAAUCGAAUUUCGAACUCGCGAAAACCGAUUUUAUUCGCGUUCAACUUAUAGCGCAUCAUUGCGCAACUAGUGCACAUUGUUCGCAACCAGAUGCGCAGUAAUGAAACUUGCGACUAAUAGGAGAAAAAUUGAUUGUCGUGAGUUCAAAAAUUCGGUUUUGAGCUGCACACAUAAUACUUUGUUUUGAUUCAUAAAUUAUCAUUAAUUUAAUUGUUCCCUAUUGUGUCCUAUUGGGUUAUUGAUAGCAUUGCCGAAGAUUAUACUGAAAAUGUUCAUGGGAUAAAUUUUCUGCCCUUCUUGCCCAUUAGGAAAUUAAUUUAAUUCUUUUAUUUAAGGAAAAUUAACAAUUUGCAACACUCUGCUGGACCACCUCUAAAUCAUUUUGUAUGAAUUCUAAGUUGGUGCUACGCCGACAAUAAUAAAACAUUUCAGAAUUUAAUUCAAAGCACAACCAGUCAGUUACAAUAAAUACAACCCAGGCAACAAACGUAUAGGCGUAGGAGGCGUAGGAAGUAAAAUCAUCUGUCGACUGGCUUCAAUCAUAACAUAAAUUUAGUGAAUAUCUUUUUCCAUUAUGAAAUAAAUUUUACUUACUUUUUCCAGCGAUUCAUGGAACACAUUCUAAAUUCUAAUAAGUUGAAAUAGAUUUCAAAUUGUUGAAAUUAGGUGACGACAAUGGUAUCACUAAAUGGAAUCAGUUUUUACCUAAGAUCCUCAAGUAUCUCGAUCAACCCUUCAAAGAUAAUGUAUCAUCGAAUCUGCUAGAUUUCAUCAAAUCAUCAGACGCCGAUAGAGAUUCGACCAUCUCGACUGUUCUUCUUUUGCUGAAUAAUGUUUUGAAACCAACUAAAGUGACCAAAACAUAUAAGCCAUCAAUUCUAUCACCGCAGGGAGACAUCAUCUUUUUUGCGGAAUCAGAUCAUCAAGUGACCCAGAAGAUCAACGACUUUAAUGCAGCGUACGAGUCACUAGGUCUUAAAACCGUCCCAAAGUUAGUAUUCAGAGGCAAAGAUAUCACGUCGUUGAGUGGCAGAUACGAAGUACAUUAUAAGUCUAUUGUAUACGUACUUGAUACGGCAGAAAGAGCCAUCGAUGUUCUAGUGAAGCUCAGCUCAAUUUUCGGAUUGGAAUAUUCAAAAAUUUGUAGACUGGUAUGGAAUUUCAUUUGUUCUUUCAUAUAUGAUUUAGCUGUACCAGAACAAUAUGAAUCCAUCAACAAGCUCAAGCGAUACUUAUCGCAAUAACAAUAUGUUCCACUGUAUGAUUGAAGGCUGCACAGUCACUGCCAUGAAUGUUUACGUAUACUUUGACCAUCUAACCAUAUUACAUAAGAUCCCAAGGAACUAUCGAUAUGUGUGCACAUUCCCACGAUGUUCCCAAAUACUAUCCAAUUGGUAUGUGUUUAAAAGGCAUGUGCUAGGACACGUUGAUCGUCAAUAUCAAACGACUGAAAAACAGAAAACUGUUCGCGAAGACUUAUCCGCAUCCGCUGAUGUUGGAAUAACCGCAGGGCAAAUUUUUACUACACCAGACGCAACAACUGAUCAUGUAGAGUUCGCAGAGGAUAAAGUACAAAUUACAUCAUAUUCAGAAAACAUGAGAGAUAUUGAACAGGCAGCUUUAGAGUUUACGUUAGAGCUCCACAGUGAAACGAAUUUGACCCGAAAUGAUAUUCAACACAUACAGAGAAAAGUUAAGACAUUAAAUUGCAACAUUGUUGAAAAGAUUGAAGGACUAUUAUCAUUUGAAACAAGGGAC